CUGGUCUACCUGACAAGCUGCCCAAUAAAUAAAAGAAUGCCCAAGGAUCCAAACAUAUAGAGAAUAUCUAGCAAUAAAGAAAUCAACCGAACAUUAACCAUACCCAGGCACCUAUAAAAGCACCUUUUAAAGGCCGAACAUACAAUCGAAAACCUGCUCAUUCCCACUGACCCAGCAGCCAAAUGGAAGAGUCUGACAGACCUAACCUGC